AAAUUAAGAAAAUAAUGAGAGUGGGGGCUGGGGUGGUUCAGUUGGUUGAGCGUUUGCCUUGGUUCAGGUCAUGAUCCCACUCCCAGAAGUUCCUACAGGCGGGAAAUACAAGAGGUAAGUACUGCUGUGUGGUCACAAGUGAUAGCAUUUCCUGUCCUGAAACAUCAACUGAAUUUGUUCAUCAACAAAUUCCAUCCUUUCUACUUUACUUACUUUAAAUUUACUUUCAGUCUCUAUGAGGAGAUUUGCUUUUUUGGUUUUGUUUUGUUUGUUUUAAUUUUUUUGUUUUCUUUACAGGAGAGCCCUUUAAUUACAGAAAAGGAAAUAAGCAAAAACUUGGCAACAUCAGGAUAUUAUUGGAGAAAGGUUGGGUAGUAUUUGGUGCAGGACACUUAUCAAUCCUAGGGCAGAGCAGGUGUCUUUUCCAUUACCAUCGAUAACAAUGACCAUCAGCCUAUGUUUGACUUUGAUCCCUUUGGUGAAGUCUUCACAUAUAUAUUAUAUCUUGUGUGUCUCUUUGUUCUCAGCCUCAAUUUAAAAUAUAUUAAAGUUAUGUAAAACUUCUGUUAUAUUUUAAAACUUCUGUAUAUUUUAAACUGAGGCUGAUUUGGUUUGAGAAAAUGACAUGCUAUUUACAAUUGCAGUUUAAUAUUUGCACCCUGAUGUGUCUGAAGAACAGAUGUCAGAAGUAGAAACUGUUAAAGAAAAUAGCCUUUUAAACAUGCCAAGUUAAAUUAAAAAAAGAUCAAGCCCAUGAUAGAACAUUAAUGAUGAAAUACCCAUGGUAACUUUCUUUCUUCAAAGAAAUAGUGUAUAAAGAGGUGCCCAUGAUAAUACCUAGCUUUAAAAACCAUGCAGAAAUCGUUGUAUAACUAAAGCUCUGUUUUGGUUUGCAUGGGUUGAUACGUUGGUAUUUUUCCCUCUUCCAUUUUCUUUUUUCUAUACCCCAAUCUUUUACUACUGAAUUUGUGGUGACUUUGUGAUAAAAUUUAGCAAUUAAAAUAAAA
rnacentral:lncRNA from 1 species